ensembl:lncRNA PPP1R3B-DT PPP1R3B divergent transcript
AGCAGAUUGGAGAUCCCCUGCCUGCAGCACGUGCUGAUCUCCAAGGCUCCAUUUGGCUGCGUCCCUACCCUGCAUAACCCUCCCAGCUAGUCUACUCCAGGGCAGCGUCCAGCUGGUGACCUGAGAGGGCAGUGGCGCACCAGUCUCCAUGAAGGUUGAGCUCCGAUGGCCAACGGCCAUUUCCACCUUGUGGUCUACAACUCUUCAUCCCGACUGCAUGGAGGUUGGUCUCUCUCUUCAGCUGGAUUUAGGCCACCAUCUGAGCCCCCGGGGUACGUUUUGUCUGACCCUGGCGCCAUUCGAACGGUUCUUCUACAGCAUCAGGCGUUCACCUGGCUCCUAGGGCUUUUGUGCUGUAGGCCUAUAUUUCCAGCUACUUUUGGAAAAAAUCUCUCUGGAGGCUCAAUGAGCUUGUCACAUCAGCCUGCCCAGAGUAGGGCAAAGUGCAACUGCAGCCAGCUCAUGCCUUCAAGAGAAGGACUGAAGAUCAUUGUGUGCCUAAACCAAUUCUCUUUCCUGCCACCAUGUGAAGAAGGACAUGUUUGCUUCCCCUUCUGCCAUGAAUGGACAGGGUCCUGCUGUGUUGCCCAGGCUGGCCUUGAACUCCUGGCUUCAAACAGUCUUCCCACUUGGGCUCCCAAAGUGCUGGGAUUAAAGGGGCGAGUUACAGCACCAGGACCUGAAAUAAUAUAGGAUCAACUCAGACAAGGUACCAGUUCUACCCGCGCCACGGUCACUUGAGGAUCUUAUCACCACCACACACACAAGACUACUGGUAACACUGAGCCUCCCUUUUUCCUUCCAACUUGAGUGGAAGCAGCCUGAGGCAUCAUCAGAAGCAGAUGCUGAUACCAUGCUUCUUGUAGAGCCUGCAGAACAGUGAGCCACAUAAACCUCUUUUCUUUAUAAAUUA